rnacentral:rRNA from 1 species
AGCGAACGCUGGCGGCAGGCCUAAUACAUGCAAGUCGAACGGUCUCUUCGGAGGCAGUGGCGGACGGGUGAGUAACGCGUGGGAACGUGCCCUUUGGUACGGAACAACUGAGGGAAACUUCAGCUAAUACCGUAUGUGCCCUUCGGGGAAGAUUUAUCGCCAUUGGAGCGGCCCGCGUUGGAUUAGCUAGUUGGUGGGGUAAUGGCCCACCAAGGCGACGAUCCAUAGCUGGUCUGAGAGGAUGAUCAGCCACACUGGGACUGAGACACGGCCCAGACUCCUACGGGAGGCAGCAGUAGGGAAUCUUGCGCAAUGGGCGAAAGCCUGACGCAGCCAUGCCGCGUGAAUGAUGAAGGUCUUAGGAUUGUAAAAUUCUUUCACCGGGGACGAUAAUGACGGUACCCGGAGAAGAAGCCCCGGCUAACUUCGUGCCAGCAGCCGCGGUAAU